GUGAGUGUAGCUCAACUGGUUAGAGUCCUGGAUUGUGGUUCCAGUUGUUGCGGGUUCGAGUCCCGUCACUCACC
rnacentral:tRNA from 1 species